CACACACCACACACAGAGGAAGACGAAGAAGAAGAGAGCGAGAAUCUUGAAGAGCCAGUAAUCUUAAUCCUUUUACCAUGGCGAUAGCUUCCUCUUCUCUUCAACCACUUCACCAAGUUCUAUGCCUCAAAUACACUUGCCUUUCUCCCAAUUCCCGAAAUUUCCAGCCUCGUCUCGGGUUUUCCUCUCUCAGGUUUCCCUCCACGAUUCGCGCUUGUUCAGCAGUUGCUCUUGAACCAGAUUUAGGUACAGAGAAGCGUCAAACUUUGGAGGAUGACCCAUUUGCAUGCCCAAUAUGUUAUGAGCCUCUGAUAAGAAAAGGCCCUCCAGGUUUUAAUUUAUCAGCAAUCUACCGGUCUGGUUUCAAGUGCAAGAAAUGCAACAAAACAUAUUCCAGCC
rnacentral:misc_RNA from 1 species